AUACUUUCCUGGCAGGGGAGAUACCAUGAUCAUGAAGGUGGUUUCCCCAGAGCAAGGCUCACCCACUGCACUCCGGGUGUGCUGACCCCUGCGAUUUCCUCAAAUGUGAGAAACUCAACUGUAUAAUUUGUGGUAGUGUGGGACUGUAUUCAAGCUCUCCCCUU